ACACUGCAAAGUUGCCUUGGCAUCAGGUCGCCGCAGCCUGAACUCAAAUAUGAGGUAAGAGACUGCACUCUGGAGUCAGAGCAAUGUCCUCCUCGAUGCCAGCCUACUGCGCAGGGCAACUCAGAGAUGCAUCCGGUAACUUAGACUGUGAGCAGAGCUUGAGAUCCACUGGCUCCCAAUAACCCCUGAGUGCAUAACAAGCAGUGAUGACGCAAUGACUUACUGGAAUAAACUAGCUUUCAUCAACAUGCACAAGGCAGAAGUGUUACAAUCCUGUAUGUGUUUUUUGAGGCACGAUUGUAUUCUGUAGCCCAGGCUAGUCUGGAACUUACCAUGUAGCCUCUUGUGGACUGGUGAUUAAAUGUGUUUUAAAAUAUCAUUUGGAUUUGUUUAUUUCCGGUCAACCUUAAAUUAUGUUAACAAGUGAUCCAGAUGCCAAUAAUAUUUUUAAUAUAUCAACAUAUUUUGAGAUUACAAAAUCAAAAAUUUAUGAAAGAAGCAAACUGACAUUUAAACUUUCAUAAGGUGUCUUGUUAAAUUUAAAGGAUUAUAAAACAUUCAUAUUCUAGACAUCAACUCCCUAUUAAAAUGGCAUGUUUAUGAAAAUCCUGUUACUGCUCUUAAAGAGCUUGCUAUGUGCUAGGGACUGGGCCAAGAACUUUUCAUGUAUUUGCCCUUUUGAACUUCCUCAAAGUAUAAUGAAGUAAUAUUGCGCCCGGAAGACCUUGUGUUGGAUGGCUUGCUCGAAACCCUGCAGCCAGGUAGGUGCACACAGGUGGGUUGUUCCCAGUACUACACAGUUACGGUAAGAAAAGUGGAUGAGGUAGAACUUCAAAACAGAUGAACUCUGGCUGGACACUGUCCCAGGCAGAUGGAUCUCUGUGAGUUUAAAGCCAGCCUGAUCCAUACGGAAACUUUCCAGACAGCUGUUACAUGGCAAGACCUUUGCUUCAAAAGUGAACCAAACCAAGCAGUCCCCCCAAACAAAGGAACCACGAGGAGAACAACCUCUACCAACGACAAAAUAAGGACCUGGGGAGAUGCUUGGAGGGUUCAGUAAAUACAUUUUAUGUAACCAAGAAGUCAGAGGGUUUAAAUUAAAACCAUGGAGUUAUGAUUAUACACAAUUAUAGCAAUAACAUGGUAGUUAAAAGCACGUAGGCGAUUGAUUCUUACCGAGGGUUAGAUGGAGAAGGGGGGUUCAUUUCUUUCUGAUAGUGACGGCCUUGGUUCACAGGCUGAAAGAAACAAAACAUCUGUGAGGCGGAAACCCAUCAGCUUGGCGACCUUGGCACACACCCUCGCAUCAGUCCUCAUUUCUGAUGUUUUGAUAUCAACGGUUCUCAUUUUUUGAGAUCUUAUUUCUGAUAUUCCAUCUGCAGGAGAGAGCUGCGUCCCCUUCCCAGCGUAGGCAGAGGCUCUGGGAGACCCAGCAAUCCCAGGGUGGCAUAACCCACAGAACGCAGGCCACUUUAAAGGGUUCCGUAGCAUCUGUGAUGUAAACAGAGGCCUCCCUCACAUGAGAGCUCUCCGUGUGGAAUCUUUAGGCUGUUGCUGCUUCUGGAGACAGCAGAGGAAAACAAGGUCUCCUGCUGAAAGCACUGGCAAUGGCUAGAGGUGCAGCAAAACAUAUUUAUGUCUCAGGGCCAGUAAGUUGGCGAGGACCACUCUGUUGCCGUUAGCUUGGACUGUUCAUGUGAAUCUCAGGUCCCACCCCCAAAUGUAUACGAAAACUGUGAGCAUGGAUCAGAAUGAGCUGACAAAGUGGUGCUAGUAAAAAUGGGGACUCUCUAACCCCCCCCACAAUAAACCUUUCCUCAUUUCUUGAAACACAACUAAGAAACACACAAAAAACAAGACAGAAAAACAAAUGAAUGCCAAUAAUAAAACUUGAUUUUCUUCCUCUUUGAGGAGAAAGUUCGGACAGCUAAUACCAACUCCAUUUUGAGGAUAAUUCUAAAUGUUUUCCUAACGUGGCUAACAAUGACAAAAUUCUAACAUGGAAACCACAUUAUUUUGGCCUUCUUGUUUUACCACACGGUGGAACUUGGCAUGCAUUUGUGAAGUGCAUUCAGAACUCCUGCUCCCACAGGGGUUGCUAAGGCCCCUUCACCCUAGUGAGGAGAUGUGGUCCCAUGGUGCAGAGGUGCAGAGACCAAGCUAAGAUGUGUCAGUCACCCAUGUGAGAAUCAUGUCACUUAGCCUGGCUACCUGCGAUGCACCAUGCAUUUCGGUGCUCUCAGAUAAUUUGGUGAGUGAACGGCAGGCAACACCGUCACGGUAAUCAGAAAUAACAGCUGGGAGAACAGUGGAAGGGAAAUAUGUCAUAAGGCAUAACUCAUCUCACCAGAGAAAUCAAAAUUUCAGCAAUUUGCAAGUGAAAUUUAGUUGGCAAUUUAGGCUUUAUUAUUUAGAGCGAGAGCUGCUUCUCUGGAUCAGCUUGCACUGGGAUAGGAAAUGUCCCAAUGAUGCCGUCGUUGGCAUCCACUGUGCGUCUGCAGCACUGAGGCCUCUGGUGAAUGGACUUCUGCUUAUUUAUCUCCACAUGCACUUCCAGAACUUUCUGGUUUCAUCUGAUUUUAUCUACAGUGCAGCACAAUCAAAACCCUACCUUCCUAGUUUACCCAGAUAACAAACAAGCCUGGCAUAUCCUGCAAGAGCUGAGGAACUAAUGAGUCUGUGGAUGAGAAGAAAUUAAGACCCAUUAGGGCCCCAGUCCGUGUGCACGGCCCCAGGAUGCCUGCUUAGCUCCAGGAGCCAUGAGAAGAGGAACUUGAAGAACUCCUGCCAGGUAGCAGGCUCCUAACAUGGAAAGGCCCUUUGGGGCUGGCUCAGCAGCUAAUGGUGCUUUCCACAGAGCCUGACAACUGGGCCCAGUCAAUCCCUGGGACUGCCAUGGUGGAAGAGAACUAAUUCAGCCAGGCUGUGCUCCAACAUCCAUGCCCGUGCCAUGGUGCGUACCCCUCACAGAUAGAUGAACGUAAAGGACUUCUUUAAUAAAAAGUUAGCCACCCUGUAAGGCAGAGGAGGCGGUGGAAACAACCAAACCCAGACAAAAUCCAAACAAACAAGUGGGUGUGUCCCAAAGGGAGAGGUCAAUGGAAGAGCAGGCAGGCUGGCAGAGAACAGGGACAGGGGACACUGUGGCUGGAGCGCAGUGUCAUUCGCCUGUGCACAUGCUGGAUGGGGUGGGGCAGGCAGCCAGGGUGAGUCUCAAGUUCUAUGUGAGCUGAGGGAGAGGGCCUGAAGAGAAGGGUAUCUGGCAUAAGGAGAGACGCUGCUCUCACCUCCACAGUCUGCCUCUUUCUCGAAUCUGAAAUGCCUUCCUCUGUUUUGUCUACAUGUAAACUUGCACUCCUUCAUGAGCUCUGACCUAAGUGAGGACGUCUGACAGCGUGCCUGGGACCUAGAGGCCAUGUUGAUAUGGAUUGCUCCUUCCUAUACCUUCCCACAGUUCUUUGUCUCACUGACACUCAUCAUCCUGAAUCGCAGAGCUUCUGUCGCUCUGUGAGCAUCCUAAGGUGGGGACAAGUUUUAUCCCUAACAUCCCUCCUAGUCCCCACCACAUUGUACUGAAUAGGUGCGGAAUGAGCGCAUGCGACACAGAUGACGAAGUCUGGGACGGGAGGUGGACAUUUACUCCUGCUCUGGGCACAGAGGAAGAUAUGGCCUUCACAGUGAGGCCUAGAGUAGUGCCACCGAAAAUCCUGGAGCUGUCUGGGUGUCAAUCCGGAGCAAGGUACACGGAUACCCUCACCGUGCAGGUACAGAGCUGGAACUGUAACUUGGAGGGAAUGGUGGAGAGAAGGGGGAAGUGAGGCUGGGGUAGGGUGGUCUCUCAGAGUGCAGGAAGCCCUCUGCCUCAGACUCCAGAGGCAAUGGGAGUCACUGCUUUAGGGAGAACGGAGCGUGUGUGAAUAUCCACAGAGACCAGAAGAGGAGGUUGGGUCCCCUAGAGCUGGAGUAACAGGCAGCUGUGGGCUGCCUGCUGUGGCUACAACAGACUGAAUUCUGGCCAUCUGACAACUAAGGAUUUUACUAAGUGCUUAUUAUGUUUCAAAUUCAGCAGCAGAUGUUUUACAAGGCGGUAGGCCACCGGGUGAGUGCUCCUAACCCUUAGAUCAGAGGCAAGGAGAUGAGGUAUGAGAAAAGCCAGACAAACAGCACCGCGCCAAGUCCCUCUUCUGACCUCCGAGGAUACCAGGAGUGCACAUGCAGGAUGCGGAGUUCAUUACGGAAUGCAAUUUCCCAUUUGUUGCUAGUUCCAGUGGUGGAGCAAACCGAACUUGAUGAAAUAAUAAACACGUCCCAUGAAUCUGAAGGAAGAGGACAUGGAUACCUUGGGACUGGAGUUACGGUACUUUUAAAUGAUGCACUGUCUCCCCAGGCACGUUUCUAUGAUGGGAACCUUUAUUAUUUCCAUUUGGCACCCGAAUAAGCAGGCAAGAGAGGGUCAGGGACCUAUGUUGGCCCUGUGGGAGUUGGAAUUAUUCUCUGGCUAGUUUAGUUGGGAUUACAGACAGACCACACGAGAAGAGGCAGCUUUUGUUUACUAAAGCGUUUCCGCCCUGGGAAUGGAGGCCAGGAUGUUGCAUGUGCUGAGCAAGGCCCUGACCACUGUGGUACAUUUACAAGCCUGAGUCAAAGUUACUUUAUCUUUCCUUCUCUGCUAGGCCAUGACUAUACUAAUGUGCUUUAACAUGUGAACAUGUGGCAGUGUCAGCCUUUAAAACAUAUCUGAAGCUCUUAACACAACCCCUCAAACACACGGAGGAGUCAGUCAGUGAACCUCAGUGACGUGUACACAAGGUUCCUUUCUGUCCUCACUGGGAGCAAUACUUACUGUGGUCGUAUUCACCAUUGUCCAUUCACUUAGUGAGCACUUCACUGAAAACUAUCAUGUCUCUUUUAUGUGGUAAGGGGCUUGUGCUACAAGCAGGGGUUGUCAGAGUCCAUUUUGGUGCAUGAUUUUAUACACUGCUGUGGUUUGUGCAUUUUCCCCAAGUCUAUUAUAACAGACACGUCAUCACCUACAUGAAGCAGAGUGGGGCGGGGUCCUUAAGAGGUAGUUAGAGAGCAAGGACUCUGAGUUCAAUAAGUUCCCAUUAUUGUAGGAGCGAGUUCUUGACAACAAGACUCGUUGAGCUCCUUUCCACUAGUGUGUUUCUGCUCCCUGUGCCUUCUCCGUUUUCCCUGCUUUCAUGGGACAGUGCAGGAAGACCCUGGACCUUUCAGCCUUCAGAACUGAACAAAGUCGAUCUCUGUAUUCAUCAGUGACUUGGUUCUCAUCUGCUGUGGAGAUGAGAACUACGUAGGAGAACUACGGCAACCAAUCAUCAUACCUACAUUUCCAAGAGGGCAUAAGACAGUCUGAGACGCGACAGUGCCAUCGUAUGCUACCUGUCCUUCCCAUAAAAGCCUAUUUCAGAAUGAGCUCUGCACACCUCUCAUGGUCGGAGGCUCACUUUUGACUCUACUUGCCCCAGGCGAGUCUGGGCUCGCUCCUUUUGAAGGCAAGGGAAUGGAUGCAAAGUAUAGGACUCACAGGUGGGAGACAGGAGUUCCACGUGGUCGUGUCAUCGCUGCUGGUACUGAUGCUGACAUUACAGUUGUCCACCUGGGAUGCGCUCAGGCCAUGAGGAGCCCCGGUGUCCUCUAGGUCUUCAUUCUGCUGCCGCCUGAGGCUUGCCAGCAUCUGUAGCUCAGAUUCGCUCAUCUGGCUGGGCUGAUAGUUUCUCCAGUUGUAUUCCUGACCCAGAGAGAGACAAGAGAGACGACAGAGAAUUGUGGUUUCCAUUUUAUGAGCCAUGGACAAGUGUGACUACUGCCCUACCUUCAACAGAGGCCCAAAUGCUCUCGUGUCUUCAUGAGAAGCCUCAAAAGCAUCAAACUGGCAUCUGCCUGAGUUUGCUUGCGAACCCCCAGUGUCCUCUGGCGGCCUGGCUCGAUAACUGAGAUGACUCCUCCUGGGGGAGGUCUUUUCUGACAAUAACAAAUGGGGCUAGCUCCUCUGUUAUGUGUUCUCGUAGAAUUUAAAAGUUUUGACUUUUAGCAUUUGUCUCAAUUAUAACUGUCUAACUAACUGCCCUGAGACUGACGAGUCAGCCAUGAGCUCUGCAUAGAUGGCUGCCACGACUGCCUGACUCCAGCUGGAUUCCCACGGUGAAGAUUCGUAGGUAUUUACUCCGGGGCCUAAACUCAAAGCAGUGUUUAAUGGAAUGAAUCUAUCUGUUUACUGCGGAUGCAUUUUGGAGAGAGGGUUUCCCUGUAGCCCAGGCUGGCCUCGAAGUCACAGAAAUCCUCCUAUUUUAGCCUCUUGAGGGCUGAGGUUGCAGGUGCAAGUUACCACAGCCAAUUUAAGAGGAACUCUGCAAAGAAAAGCUCCUUUUCUAGACAAAACCAGCUUAUACGGUGUGAUGGUUUGUAUAUGCUCAGCCCAGGGAGUGGUGCUAUUAGAAGGUGUGGCACUGUGGGCGUGGCCUUUUGGAGUAGGCGUGGCACUGUGGGUGUGGGCUUUAAGACCCUCACCCUAGCCCCUUGGAAGGAGUAUUCUGCUAGCAGCCUUCAGAUGAAAAUGUAGAGCUCUCAGCUCCUCCUGCACCAUGCCUCCCUGGAUGCUGCCACGCUCCUGCCCUGAUGACAAUGGACUGAACCUCUGAACCUAUAAGCCAGCUCCUAUUAAAUGUCCUUAUAAGAGUUGCCUUGGUCAUGGUGUCUGUUCACAGCAGUAAAACCCUACCUAAGAUGUAAUGGAUGGAUUUUACCACUGUAAGUCCCCAGAUACAAAUAAACAUCAUUUCUUCUUUUAAUUAUUAUAAAAAUAUUUUUAGCUUGUGUGUGCGUGCGUGCGUGUGUGCAUGUAUGCGUGUGCGUGUGUACCCAUGAGUGACAUGGAGUACAUGUGGAAGUCAGAGGACAACUAGCAAGGGUGAGUUCUCUCCUUCUACCAUCUGGGACACAGAGAUGGAACUCAGGUUGUUAGGCUUGGUAGCAAGUGCCUUUACCUGCUGAGCCAUUUUGACAGCACGUAAAUCUUACUUCAGUGUACAGGACAGGGAUUAAUAUACGAAAACUUGGACACAUUUUGUUUCCUUUCCUGUGGCUUGAACCAUGACUAAAAACUUGGCCUUACAUAUGAGCAAUGCAUUUACGCUCAAGUCUAACCCGUGACUUGAAAGUGACCUUGAGGCAGAAGGAACACCCAUUCAGAGCCCGCCCCACAUGUGGCCCAUAUGUAUACAGCCACCAAACUAGAUAAGAUGGAUGAAGCAAAGAAGUGCAGGCCAACAGGAACCGGACGUAGAUCUCUCCUGAGAGACACAGCCAGAAUACAGCAAAUGCAUAGGCGAAUGCCAGCAGUAAACCACUGAACUGAGAACGGGACCCCCGUUGAAGGAAUCAGAGAAAGGACUGGAAGAGCUUGAAGGGGCUCGAGACCCCAUAUGAACAACAAUGCCAAGCAACCAGAGCUUCGAGGGACUAAGCCACUACCCAAAGACUAUACAUGGGCUGACCCUGGGCUGCAACCUCAUAGGUAGCAAUGAAUGGCCUAGUAAGAGCACCAGUGGACGGGGAAGCCCUUGGUCCUGCCAAGACUGAACCCCCAGUGAACGUGAUUGUUGGGGGGAGGGUGGUAAUGGGGGGAGGAUGGGGAGGGGAAGCCCAUAGAAGGGGAGGGGGAUGGGUUAGGGGGCUGUUGGCCUGGAAACCGGGAAGGGGAAUAACAAUCGAAAUGUAAAUAAGAAAUACUCAAGUUAAUAAAGAUUAAAAAAAAGUGACAUUGAAAUCUCCUGGCACAUCUGGAAAUAUUGGUUAUAGUCACAGGGACUUCCUAUGACACACACGAAUGUUCAGAUCUUCCCAUGGAGACCUUGACUUACUUUCCUGGAGGACACUCAGAGUUAGCUACUGCCUUUUGUUUUUAUUAUUUUAUGAAAACCGUAAUCCUGAAAACAGUUCUUGGAGUUCCCAGGACACCAGAUGAUUUCUAAUAAGGCAUUGCCACCUCUAUAACUUGGAUUUUUAAAAUAUUGCUGUUGGAUAAUGUGAUGGGAAGACUUUUUGGAGUGUUGUUGGGAACCUCAAAUAAAUCCUUCUUCGUGGCUCCACAAGACCUCUCCCCAUAUACUUUUUGAGGUAUCAUGGAAAUUCUUUGUAUGUACUUUAUUGUGUCUAUAUUUGGUCAUAAUAAAAACUCAUUUUAUGGUUUUC